GCCGGUGUAGCUCAGUUGGCUAGAGCAGCUGAUUUGUAAUCAGCAGGUCGUGGGUUCGAGUCCCUCCAUCGGCUCCA
rnacentral:tRNA from 1 species